GGACAUCUGCCCUCAGGCGGUGGAGAACACGUGGAAACGCGUGCUAAUACCGCAGAUUAACGGGGACCGCAUGCGCUUCUGGGCAGGUAUGGCUGUGGCUAUCACUUGUGGAUGGCCCCCCGGCGUGUUAUCUUGAUGGUGGGGCAACUGCUCACCAUGGUUCGGAUACCUUGCCUACCUGAGAGGCGCCGCGGGCGUUUGGGACUGAGACACGGCCCAUCCUCCUACGGGAGGCAGCAGUAGGGAAUCUUCCACAAUGGACGAAAGUCUGAUGGAGCAACGCCGCGUGAGUGAAGAAGGGUUUCGGCUCGUAAAACUCUGUUGUUAAAGAAGAACAUAUCUGAGAGUAACUGUUCAGGUAUUGACGGUAUUUAACCAGAAAGCCACGGCUAACUACGUGCCAGCAGCCGCGGUAAUACGUAGGUGGCAAGCGUUGUCCGGAUUUAUUGGGCGUAAAGCGAGCGCAGGCGGUUUUUUAAGUCUGAUGUGAAAGCCUUCGGCUCAACCGAAGAAGUGCAUCGGAAACUGGGAAACUUGAGUGCAGAAGAGGACAGUGGAACUCCAUGUGUAGCGGUGAAAUGCGUAGAUAUAUGGAAGACACCAGUGGCGAAUGCGGCUGUCUGGUCUGUAACUGACGCUGAGCUCGAAAGUAUGGGUAGCAACAGGAUUAGAUACCCUGGUAGUCCAUACCGUAAACGAUGAAUGCUAAGUGUUGGAGGGUUUCCGCCCUUCAGUGCUGCAGCUAACGCAUUAAGCAUUCCGCCUGGGGAGUACGGCCGCANGCUGAAACUCAAAG
rnacentral:rRNA from 2 species